CACGUAGGGGGCAAGCGUUGUUCGGAUUUACUGGGCGUAAAGGGCGCGUAGGCGGUAUGACAAGUCACUUGUGAAAUCUCCGGGCUUAACUCGGAACGGCCAAGUGAAACUGUCAAACUAGAGUGCGGAAGGGGCAAUCGGAAUUCUUGGUGUAGCGGUGAAAUGCGUAGAUAUCAAGAGGAACACCUGAGGUGAAGACGGGUUGCUGGGCUGACACUGACGCUGAUGCGCGAAAGCCAGGGGAGCAAACGGG
rnacentral:rRNA from 1 species